UUUUUUUUUUUUUUUUUUUUUUUUGGUCUUUUUAGGGCUGAACCCACAGCAUAUGGAGGUUCCCAGGCGAGGGGUCGAAUUGGAGCUGUAGCCGCCAGCCUACGCCAGAGCCACGGCAACGCCAGAUCCGAGCCGUGUCUUCGACCUACACCACAGCUCACGGCAACACCGGAUCCUUAACCCACUGAGCGAGGCCAGGGAUCGAACCCGCAUCCUUGUGGAUACUAGUCAGGUUGGUUGACCGCUGAACCACCAUGAGAACUCCAAGCUUGGAGAUUUAAAACACCCCUUGGAAAAAAAAAUAAAAUAAAAUAAAACACCCCUUGGGCAGAAGUGAUAUAAAGGAGUGACAUGGGAGUUCCCGUCAUGGCUCAGUGGUUAACGAAUUUGACUAGGAACCAUGAGGUUUCGGGUUCGAUCCCUGGCCUCGCUCAGUGGGUUAAGGAUCUGGCAUGGCCGUGAGCUGUGGUGUAGGUCGCAGAUGUGACUCGGUCUGGCGUUGCUGUGGCUCUGGCGUAGGCCGGCGGCUACAGCUCCAAUUCGACCCCUAGCCUGGGAACUUCCACAUGCUGCAGGUGUGGUCCUAAAAAGCAAGUAAAAUAAAAUAAAAUAUCCAUGUUUAAAAAAAAUUUUUUUUCCCAACUAUUCACAUGGCUAAGUACCCAGUGCAUACCAGCCCCAGGAACACUUAAGUCUAAAUGAAAGAAACUGUCUAGCUUUUCUCCUACAGAUGCCACUCCCACAGGCCCAGGGUCCACUGUUGGUGGCAUAAAAUAAAAGCUAGGGGUAACCUAAUUGCUCUGCCACCAAGUCAGGCCAGGACCUCUGAACCCCCAAAAUGCACUUAAUUAUUUCCAGGAGUUGCCAGGGGCUGUCACAGAGGCUCAGGAACGAGUCCAUUCAGUCUCUGUGCGACCCUGCUCUCAGGGGACACCAAAGACACUACUGCCACUCUGGAGGCUCCCCAAGGGUGGUUGGUGUCCUGCAGCAUCAUAGUAGUUCUGCCCUAGGGGCCUCAUGGACCGUAGAGCACAGAAGACACCUGGUGGUUUGUGGGGUGGUUGGGGUGAACAGUUAGCUCUCUCCCCACUGGGUUAUCUUCUGCUAAAGGGGCCCAGAGCAGUGCCAGAUGGGGACAUAUACCCUAAGGCAACUACAGCGAGUCCUGUAGUAAGAAAGUCGUUGGCAUCUCCUAGUACUCCUGUCUUUUGGGUGUUUUGAGACCCAACUGCCAAUGCUCAGGGCUGGCAGGUUGGGGGAGGGCGGUUUCCUCAAACAAACAAGCAGUUCUCAGACACCAGCAGUGUAUCCAAGAAUUCAACUCAGGUCAACUCAAUUCUGACACCCCCUACCCGGAGAGAGCAUCAGAUUCCACAGGCUGAGGGUUGCGUCCUACAAGAGUGCCCUGCCUCUACCCUGCCCCCACUUCAGAUGCCAGUCACAAGCCCAGGCUGUUACCCACGCUUCUGACAAACUGGCUAUAGAUUGGAGAUUCCAACCAUGCCCUCCGUGGCAACUCAAUUCGGACACCAGUGCCAAGUCCAAGUUGUGACCUGUGCUUUAAACCAACUGGCUAGGUUCCAAUGACACUCUUGUUGGGUUCGAUUAAUCUGCGAGAGUGGCUCACAGAAGUCAGAAACAUUUUGCUCACGAGAUUACUGGUUUAUUAUAAAAGGAUCUAACUCAGGAAGUCAGAUGGCAGAGGCGCAUAGAGCAGGUGUGGAAAAGGGCGCUGAGCUCCCAUGCCUCUCCUGGGCUCACCAUUCUCCCCACAUCUCCAUGUGCUCACCAACCUGGAAUUUCUCUGGACCCCAUCCUUUUGGGUGUUUACGGCGGCUUCACUACCUCGGUGUGAGUGAUUAAGUCAUUGGCCCCUGGUGAUGGAGUCAACUUCCAGAUCCCCUUCAUUCCCCUCCCCUCCCCCAGCAUAGAAGAUGGGACAGAAAGUUCCAAUCCUCUAAUCAAAAGGUUGAUCCUCCUGGCACUUAACCUCCAUUCUUAGGUACCGUCCAAGAGCCACCUCACUAACAUAACAAAAGACACCUUUCACUCACAUCGCUCAGGAAGUUCCAAGGGUUUAGUACCUGCCAAAAAUGUGGACCAAAAAGAUUUAUAUUUCUUAUUAUAAAUCAUGAUAUCACAGUCCACCCCCCGGUCUUCAAACAUGGAUCCCUUGUAGCAAAAUGAUCAUAAAAGUGAAAAGAUAUUGGCACAUGACUAGAGUUCUAUUCAGUCAUUACUAAGUAUCCAGUCCAGCAUCAUAUCAUAUGAAAAUGUCUCCCAGGGAGAACCCAUCGGUUUGUGACCUUGUCAGGUUCCAAAAAGCACAAGUGGUGUCAGCAACACAGGGCUUCACCCUUUCAGGCAUCUGGUAUGAGACAUUAUCAUCUCGUGCUCUAAGCCUCUUUUGAGAUGGUAACCUAAUCUGAAUGCCUCUCAUUAUAUAACCCAUUCACUUAUUCAUUCCCUUACCCUCAGCUACUGUUUUCCCUUCUCUCUGCUUAAUAUCCACAUUUUCCUACCUUUGGAAGAGACGUUAGGUCCGGCCACUGUGCUGGUCUCUGUCGCAAGCAGCAAUACUAGGCUAGUUAAGCGCCUCCCCCCAGUGCAAGUCUAGUCAGAUAAGGUUACACAGCAGAGAACUAUUGGGCUAUCUUUACCUCCAGGCAAUACAGCAAUAUAACCCAAUUUUGUUAGAGGGGGUGAAGGCACAUCCUGCCCCAUCAGGCCCUUAGGAAUUCCGACACAAAGGUUAAAAACACAGUUACAGUUUCUUGCUCAGGAAUCAUCCCUAUUUCCAGCCCAGGUCUUGUGACCACUGCAUCAAGUAGGGAAGAAAACAACAAAAAAAGCUGAAGUGAUGCAGGGAAGAAAAAAAUACCAGCACCUUCCCCACCCCCUCACCCCCAGAUCCACCAGAAAAACAGAGAGAUCUACCCAGUGGGGACACUCCUUUGGCCACACUCAUGUUUGUGCUGAGCAUGAGCACACACUCGUGAAGGUGCGGAAGCCAGCCCUGCACUGUUCCAAUUGCCCCUUCCUGUUCUCUAUCAGGCUCUGGGGACGAGACCUCGGUGUCCGUCCUUGGACAUCACGAGUAAGCCGAGCCCGGGCUAGAGUCUCAGGCCUGUCAGGACCGGGGGGGGGGGGGGGGGGGGGGGGCGCCCCCCGCCGNAGGCCUUCCCAGCAGAAUUGGCCAUGCAGCCCUCUGCCUCUGUCUCUCUUGCCAACAGGACAGCUCUUGUUGGCAUCUCGUGCUCAGAGGGAGCAGGAGGACUACGUCUGGAUCCAGUCCGCCUCUCACUGCUGCAGCGUCCCCACGUCCCCAUGUCCCCUCACUCAUGGACCCAGGUGGGCACCUCCAGCAAGCACACAAGGAGAUCUGCUUGUUGUUUUUUUUUUUGGUUUUUUUUUUUUUGGUUUUUUUUUUGGCUUUGUAGGGCUGCACCCUAGGAAGU
rnacentral:lncRNA from 1 species